UGAACGCUGGCGGUAUACUUAACACAUGCAAGUCGAACGGAAACGAUACUAGCUUGCUAGUAGGCGUCGAGUGGCGGACGGGUGAGUAACGCGUAGGAAUCUGCCUGAUAGUGGGGGAUAGCCCGAAGAAAUUCGGAUUAAUACCGCAUAAUCUAUUCGUAGUAAAGUGGGGGACUUUCGAGCCUCACGCUAUCAGAUGAGCCUGCGUAAGAUUAGCUUGUUGGUGGGGUAAAAGCCCACCAAGGCGACGAUCUUUAGCUGGUCUGAGAGGAUGAUCAGCCACAUCGGGACUGAGACACGGCCCGAACUCCUACGGGAGGCAGCAGUGGGGAAUAUUGGACAAUGGGGGCAACCCUGAUCCAGCAAUACCGCGUGUGUGAAGAAGGCCUGAGGGUUGUAAAGCACUUUCAAUUGUGAAGAAAAGUUAGCGGUUAAUAACCGUUAGCCUUGACGUUAACUUUAGAAGAAGCACCGGCUAACUCCGUGCCAGCAGCCGCGGUAAUACGGAGGGUGCAAGCGUUAAUCGGAAUUACUGGGCGUAAAGCGUGCGUAGGCGGUUUAUUAAGUCAGAUGUGAAAGCCCCGGGCUUAACCUGGGAACUGCAUUUGAAACUGGUCAAACUAGAGUAUGGUAGAGGAAAGUGGAAUUUCUGGUGUAGCGGUGAAAUGCGUAGAUAUCAGAAAGGAACAUCAAUGGCGAAAGGCAGCUUUCUGGACCAAUACUGACGCUGAGGUACGAAAGCGUGGGUAGCAAACAGGAUUAGAUACCCUGGUAGUCCACGCCGUAAACGAUGAUAACUAGCCGUUGGGGGGAUUUACCCUUUAGUGGCGAAGCUAACGCGUUAAGUUAUCCGCCUGGGGAGUACGGCCGCAAGGUUAAAACUCAAAGGAAUUGACGGGGACCCGCACAAGCGGUGGAGCAUGUGGUUUAAUUCGAUGCAACGCGAAGAACCUUACCUGGUCUUGACAUCCUGCGAACUUUCUAGAAAUAGAUUGGUGCCUUCGGGAACGCAGUGACAGGUGCUGCAUGGCUGUCGUCAGCUCGUGUCGUGAGAUGUUGGGUUAAGUCCCGUAACGAGCGCAACCCCUAUCCUUAUUUGCCAGCACAUUAUGGUGGGAACUAUAAGGAGACUGCCGGUGAUAAACCGGAGGAAGGCGGGGACGACGUCAAGUCAUCAUGGCCCUUACGACCAGGGCUACACACGUGCUACAAUGGGAAGGACAAAGAGCCGCGAAGCCGCGAGGUGUAGCUAAUCUCAUAAACCUUUUCGUAGUCCGGAUUGGAGUCUGCAACUCGACUCCAUGAAGUCGGAAUCGCUAGUAAUCGUAGAUCAGAAUGCUACGGUGAAUACGUUCCCGGGUCUUGUACUCACCGCC
rnacentral:rRNA from 1 species